UGGGAUCCUGCCCCCGCUUAACAUGCAUCUACAUAUGCACUCGGUGGAGCAUCCUCGCACAUGGGCGCAGGCAGGAGUGCAGACCUGCCCAGGCAUGUGUGUGUGCACCCACAGGAGAGCACCCACAGGAGAGCACACACAGGAGAGCACCCACAGGAGAGCUCACACAGCAUGGGUGCAUGUGCAUCAUACGUGUUAGUACAUGUGUGUACCUGCAGGGACAGAUACAAGUGUGUGUGUGCACAUGCUCACAGGAGCACUGGGCACACUCAUGCACAGGUGCACACGCAUAGACACGCGUGCAGGCACAGAUGCACACCCAUGCACGCAGGAGCACACUAGUAUGCAUGCAGAGGUGAAGGCACAAGCGCAUAUGUAUUCUCACGUGAGGGUAUGGGCACACAGCUAUACAUGCAUGCAUACAGAGGCACGUGUGCACGUACAGCAUGGGCAAGAGAGCAGGUACACACGUGAGAACAUG
rnacentral:lncRNA from 1 species